ACGCUGGCGGCAGGCCUAACACAUGCAAGUCGAGCGGUAGAGAGAAGCUUGCUUCUCUUGAGAGCGGCGGACGGGUGAAUAAUGCCUAGGAAUCUGCCUGGUAGUGGGGGAUAACGUUCGGAAACGGACGCUAAUACCGCAUACGUCCUACGGGAGAAAGCAGGGGACCUUCGGGCCUCACGCCAUCGGAUGUGCCCAGAUGGGAUUAGCUAGUAGGUGGGGUAAUGGCUCACCUAGGCGACGAUCCCUAGCUGGUCUGAGAGGAUGACCAGCCACACUGGAACUGAGACACGGUCCAGACUCCUACGGGAGGCAGCAGUGGGGAAUAUUGCACAAUGGGCGCAAGCCUGAUGCAGCCAUGCCGCGUGUGUGAAGAAGGCCUUAGGGUUGUAAAGCACUUUCAGCGAGGAGGAAGGGUUCAGUGUUAAUAGCACUGUGCAUUGACGUUACUCGCAGAAGAAGCACCGGCUAACUCCGUGCCAGCAGCCGCGGUAAUACGGAGGGUGCAAGCGUUAAUCGGAAUUACUGGGCGUAAAGCGCACGCAGGCGGUUUGUUAAGUCAGAUGUGAAAUCCCCGAGCUUAACUUGGGAACUGCAUUUGAAACUGGCAAGCUAGAGUCUUGUAGAGGGGGGUAGAAUUCCAGGUGUAGCGGUGAAAUGCGUAGAGAUCUGGAGGAAUACCGGUGGCGAAGGCGGCCCCCUGGACUGAUACUGACACUGAGGUGCGAAAGCGUGGGGAGCAAAC
rnacentral:rRNA from 1 species